AAUGGCCUAAUGGCUGAACCAGCAAUUCGGGUGAAUGGAAAAGCAUUAUGUUUAAAAACAUAGUGUAAUUUUUUUGAGCAUUUUUGCCGACUAUCAUAAGUAGAGCCUAUUGUUCUAUGGAUAGGAAAGUUUACGCUUUUUUUGACAGCUUCGGCUUUUAGUGAUUUAUUCGCAUUAAAUUCUAUAUGGAAUACGGAUAAUGACUAUUUUCUAUAUAAAAGUCUUGACCAAAACACGUGCCAGCAGUCGCGGUAACACGGGGCAGACUAGUGUUAUUCAUCUUUAAUAGGUUUAAAGGGUACCUAGACAGCAAAUCUGACUCCCGUAAUCGGAUCGGCACCUUUUUGCUAGAGUUUUAUGUGAGAGGUUUUUAGUACUAUCGGAGUAGAGAUGAAAUUCUUUGAUACUGUAGGGCACUGAUAACGGCGAAGGCAAGCCUUUAUGUAAAAACUGACGUUGAGGGACGAAGGCUUGGGUAACAAACAGGAUUAGGUACCCUAAUAGUCCAAGCAGAGACUGAUGAGUGUUAUAGAUUAGAAUUAUUUGAUCUAUAAAUGAAAGUGCAAGCACUCCACCUUAAGAGUAAUGCGGCAACGCAGGAACUAAAAUCAUUAGACCGUUUCUGAUACCAGUAGUGAAGUAUGUUAUUUAAUUCGAUGACCCGCGAAAAACCUUACCACAAUUUGAAUAUUAUAUUGCCUUAGGUAAGUUAUUUAGUAUUUAUUUAUUAAAUAAUGAAAGUGUUAUAAUACAGGUGUUGCAUGGCUGUCUUCAGUUGAUGUCGUGAGAUGUAGGUUAGAUCCAAAGAAUCAACGUGUAACCCGUAUUUUAUUUUGUAUAAAUAAAGUAGUUUCCCCAACAUAUUGGAAAGAUAAUUGGGACCAAGACAAGUCCUCAUGGCCCUAACAUUGUGGGCUAUAGACGUGCCACAUUUACCUUUACAAGGAGGUGCCAUAAUGUGAAUAUUAAGCUAAUCUCUAAAAAUAGGUUAAAAUAA
rnacentral:rRNA from 1 species